AAAUUCUCCUGCAGUGUUUGCAUAGAGAGUGUGUUUUACAUGAGCGACACACGCUUCAGUGCUCUGCAUGUGUUUAUAACUCUGACAAACAUCAAACAUGAUCAACAACUGUUUCUCACUAGAACUGAACCUACAACCAACAGAAAUGACUUUCAUCACCAUAUUGAUCUGGACGCUGACAGUAUUAUGUAGAGAAUCUAUUGGGCAGGUGACAGUGACUCAAACUCCCUCAGUGCUGCUCGCUCAAACUGGACAAUCAGUCACUGUAACCUGUACAUUUAACAGAGAUCCAGACUGCUGUUGUAGUGGAAAGCAGUGUCUCAGCUGGUACUUACAGAAACCUGGAGAAGCUCUUAAACUCCUGAUUUAUGGAACAAGCAGCCGUCAGUCAGGAACUCCAUCUAGAUUCAGUGGCAGUGGAUCUAACAGUGAUUUCACUCUGACCAUCAGUGGAGUCCAGACUGAAGAUGCUGGACAUUAUUACUGUCAGAGUUUUCAUUGCAGAACAAAUUCUUAUGGUAGUUGUGGGGGUGAUCAUGUGUUCACACAGUGUAAAGAGUGGUACAAAAACCUCGGUCAGUCAGAGUCACAGUGACUGAACUGAUGCUGCAGCUGAUCAAACACUAUCACUCACUACUGACACACAGAGACCAAACACAGAACUACACAUGAGCUCAGAACUGAGUUAGGAGUCAAAUCAGCUCUAUUAGACUGUGAUCUAUCAUGUGACAGACGGGUUUAACUCAAUUAUGCUCAGAAUCAGAGAAAAACUAAAGUGCCUAAAGUGAUAUUAAAUUAAACAAAAAACAAUGGUGCCACGUUUCUCAGUUCCAGUGUUGUAGUUUUUGUGUUUUGUUUAGAAAAGAUUAUUUAACCCUCACUGUGUAUCACCAUUUGCAUAGCCAUCGUCUGCAAGCUGUGACAUCGACAUAAAUAAAACAUCAACGCAAACUUUAUUG